UACGGAGGGAGCUAGCGUUGUUCGGAAUUACUGGGCGUAAAGCGCGCGUAGGUGGUUUGUUAAGUUGAAUGUGGAAUCCCCGGGCUCAACCUGGGAACUGCAUCCAAAACUGGCAAGCUAGAGUAGGGCAGAGGGUGGUGGAAUUUCCGUGUGUAGCGGUGAAAUGCGUAGAUAUAGGAAGGAACACCAGUGGCGAAGGCGACCACCUGGGCUCAUACUGACACUGAGGUGCGAAAGCGUGGG
rnacentral:rRNA from 1 species